rnacentral:rRNA from 1 species
GACGAACGCUGGCGGCGUGCCUAAUACAUGCAAGUCGAGCGGACUUUCAAGAAGCUUGCUUUUUGAAAGUUAGCGGCGGACGGGUGAGUAACACGUGGGCAACCUGCCUGCAAGACGGGGAUAACUCCGGGAAACCGGGGCUAAUACCGGAUAAUAUCUUCCUUCGCAUGAAGGAAGGUUGAAAGGCGGCGCAAGCUGCCGCUUGCAGAUGGGCCCGCGGCGCAUUAGCUAGUUGGUGAGGUAACGGCUCACCAAGGCGACGAUGCGUAGCCGACCUGAGGGGGUGAUCGGCCACACUGGGACUGAGACACGGCCCAGACUCCUACGGGAGGCAGCAGUAGGGAAUCUUCCGCAAUGGACGAAAGUCUGACGGAGCAACGCCGCGUGAGCGAAGAAGGGCUUCGGAUCGUAAAGCUCUGUUGUCAGGGAAGAACAAGUACCGUUCGAACAGGGCGGUACCUUGACGGUACCUGACCAGAAAGCCACGGCUAACUACGUG